AAUAACCAAAUUUAAGACUUGGGGUAAAGGUCAAAUUAGUAAUUUUUCUUAUAUUACCCCUUUGGAACCCUGGUCAAUAAAUAAUAUCAAAUACUAAAAGAAAAGAACGUAUAUCUAACAAGAUUUAGCGAAUACAAAAUUAUGAUCAUCUUAUUUCUUUUUUCUU
rnacentral:antisense_RNA from 1 species